UACCAGCACCCCGAGUGGUCGGGACGAUUAUUGGGCCUAAAGCAUCCGUAGCCGGUCCUACAAGUCUUCCGUUAAAUCCACCUGCUCAACAGAUGGGCUGCGGAAGAUACUAUAGGGCUAGGAGGCGGGAGAGGCAAGCGGUACUCAGUGGGUAGGGGUAAAAUCCUCUGAUCCAUUGAAGACCACCAGUGGCGAAGGCGGCUUGCCAGAACGCGCUCGACGGUGAGGGAUGAAAGCUGGGGGAGCAAAUCGG
rnacentral:rRNA from 1 species